rnacentral:lncRNA from 1 species
AUGGUGUUUUGUUUUUUUUUUUCAGAGACAUUCAGGCACCUUUCCAACUUCGUGCAUACUCUCAGGAAUUUAAAAUUAAUUUCCAGAUACAUCUACAAUGCUGUGCCUUCAAGUGGUGCGUACUGGAAGAUCACUAUAUUAUCAACUUGGCUGGCUGCUUCUACUGUCUCUCUCUCACUUGCUCAGUUCCUAGUUCGGGUUUUACCUGACAUAAGAAUGUCUUAUGUUUCUGCUGAGAUUGAUGGUGAAAGUUCUGAUCCAUGA